rnacentral:ncRNA from 1 species
GGGGAUGACGUCAAGUCCGCAUGGCCCUUAUGGGCUGGGCCACACACGUGCUACAAUGGCAAUGACAAUGGGAAGCAAGGCUGUAAGGCGGAGCGAAUCCGGAAAGAUUGCCUCAGUUCGGAUUGUUCUCUGCAACUCGGGAACAUGAAGUUGAAAUCGCUAGUAAUCGCGCAUCAGCAUGCCGCGGUGAAUAUGUACCCGGGCCCUGUACACACCGCCCGGAAAUUGGGUUUC